rnacentral:rRNA from 1 species
GACGAACGCUGGCGGCGUGCUUAACACAUGCAAGUCGAACGGAAAGGCCCUGCUUUUGUGGGGUGCUCGAGUGGCGAACGGGUGAGUAACACGUGAGUAACCUGCCCUUGACUUUGGGAUAACUUCAGGAAACUGGGGCUAAUACCGGAUAGGAGCUCCUGCUGCAUGGUGGGGGUUGGAAAGUUUCGGCGGUUGGGGAUGGACUCGCGGCUUAUCAGCUUGUUGGUGGGGUAGUGGCUUACCAAGGCUUUGACGGGUAGCCGGCCUGAGAGGGUGACCGGCCACAGUGGGACUGAGAUACGGCCCAGACGGCUACGGGAGGCAGCAGUGGGGGAUAUUGCACAAUGGGCGGAAGCCGGAUGCAGCAACGCCGCGUGCGGGAUGACGGCCUGCGGGUUGUAAACCGCUUUCGCCUGGGACGAAGCGUGAGUGACGGUAAUGGGUAAAGAAGCACCGGCUAACUACGUG